GCCUCAAACAUGCAAGUCUAGGGGGUGUACCAAUACAUCACCGGCGGACGGGUGCGUAACGCGUGGGAAUAUACCUAUUGGUUCGGAACAACUGAGGGAAACUUCAGCCUAAUACCGAAUGUGCCCUAACGGGGAAAGAUUUAUCGCCAAUGGAUUAGCCCGCGUUCGAUUAGCUAGUUGGUGGGGUAACGGCCCACCAAGGCGACGAUCGAUAGCUGUUCUGAGAGGAAGAUCAGCCACACUGGGACUGAGACACGGCCCAAACUCCUACGGGAGGCAGCAGUGGGGAAUAUUGGACAAUGGGCGCAAGCCUGAUCCAGCAAUGCCGCGUGUGUGAAGAAGGUCUUCGGAUUGUAAAGCACUUUCGACGGGGACGAUGAUGACGGUACCCGUAGAAGAAGCCCCGGCUAACUUCGUGCCAGCAGCCGCGGUAAU
rnacentral:rRNA from 1 species